rnacentral:rRNA from 1 species
UACGUAGGUGGCAAGCGUUGUCCGGAUUUACUGGGCGUAAAGAGCGCGCAGGCGGUCGAUUAAGUCGAAUGUGAAAGCCCCCGGCUUAACUGGGGAGGGUCAUUCGAUACUGAUCGACUUGAAGGCAGGAGAGGGAAGCAGAAUUCCCGGUGUAGUGGUGAAAUGCGUAGAUAUCAGGAGGAACACCGGUGGCGAAGGCGGGUCUCUGGGCCGAUACUGACGCUGAGGAGCGAAAGCGUGGGGAGCGAACAGG